rnacentral:rRNA from 1 species
GCUGGUAGCUAGCUCUCUGCAAUUCGUACAUGGUUGCCAAAGGAAAGCUAAGCAGGGCUGAGCCCUGUUAGUACCUGGAUGGAAGACCACAUGGAAAAGCUAGGUUACUGCUGGAA